rnacentral:snRNA from 1 species
GGAUAUGAGGGUGAUCUGGCUGGGACAUCCGUCAUCCCAUUGAUCACCAGAGUUGACUUGGCUAAUCUGACUGACUAGACAGAUGUCCCCUUCCUUCCUUAUUGCUCCACGUGUGUCUGUCCUGAAGCUGUGCGCUUGAUCAAAGAAGAUGACCAUCCCGGUGGAGGAGGACUGGUCUUCAGUCAAGGGUAUAUGUGUGGCUGCACUCCCCUGCUAGAACCUCCAAACAAGCUUUCAAGAAGAGCCUAUGGAAGGCUGGAUGCAGUGGCUCAUGCCUGUAAUCCCAGCACUUUGGGAGGAUGAGGCGG